rnacentral:rRNA from 1 species
UACGUAGGUGGCAAGCGUUGUCCGGAUUUACUGAGCGUAAAGGAUGCGUAGGCGGACAUUUAAGUCAGAUGUGAAAUACCCGAGCUUAACUUGGGUGCUGCAUUUGAAACUGGGUGUCUAGAGUGCAGGAGAGGUAAGUGGAAUUCCUAGUGUAGCGGUGAAAUGCGUAGAGAUUAGGAAGAACACCAGUGGCGAAGGCGACUUACUGGACUGUAACUGACGCUGAGGCAUGAAAGCGUGGGGAGCAAACAGG